GGGGCAUUUCUCCCGCUUCGGUGGGAGGAGCGACCGGCGCACGGGUGAGUAACGCGUAUGGAACUUACCUACAACAGGGGUAUAGCUUUCGGAAACGGGAAUUAAUCCCCCAUAAUGUUCAUUGGUGGCCUCACCGAUGGAUUAAAGCUCAGGCGGUUGUAGAUGGUCAUGCGUUCCAUUAGUUAGUUGGUAGAGUAACGGCCUACCAAGGCAAUGAUGGAUAGGGGUUCUGAGAGGAUAGUCCCCCACACUGGUACUGAGACACGGACCAGACUCCUACGGGAGGCAGCAGUGAGGAAUAUUGGUCAAUGGGCGAAAGCCUGAACCAGCCAUGUCGCGUGCAGGACGACGGCCCUAUGGGUUGUAAACUGCUUUUCUACAGGAAGAAUGUCAUCUACGAGUAGGUGUUUGCCUGUACUGUAGGAAUAAGCAUCGGCUAACUCCGUGCCAGCAGCCGCGGUAAUACGGAGGAUGCGAGCGUUAUCCGGAUUCAUUGGGUUUAAAGGGUGCGUAGGCGGCCUAAUAAGUCAGUGGUGAAAUUUUGUAGCUCAACUACAAGCGUGCCAUUGAAACUGUUAGGCUUGAGUUCAGACGAGGAAGGCGGAAUGUGUUAUGUAGCGGUGAAAUGCAUAGAUAUAACACAGAACCCCGAUAGCGAAGGCAGCUUUCCAGACUGAAACUGACGCUGAUGCACGAAAGCGUGGGUAGCGAACAGGAUUAGAUACCCUGGUAGUCCACGCCGUAAACGAUGAUCACUGGUUGUAGGCGAUACACCGUCUGUGACUGAGCGAAAGUAUUAAGUGAUCCACCUGGGGAGUACGUCGGCACGAUGAACUCAAAGGAUUGACGGGGCCCGCACAAGCGGAGGAACAUGUGGUUUAAUCGAUGAUACGCGAGGACCUACUGGACUAAUGUAGAUGCAUAGAUAGAGUAGUCUUUUCUCGGACUAUUACAGUGCUGCAUGUUGCGU
rnacentral:rRNA from 1 species